rnacentral:misc_RNA from 1 species
UGUUCGAGCGUCAUUACAACCCUCAAGCUCUGCUUGGUAUUGGGCCUCGCCAUCACCGGCGGGCCUUAAAAUCAGUGGCGGUGCCGUCUGGCUCCAAGCGUAGUAAUUAUUCUCGCUUUGGAACCUCUCGGUUGCUUGCCAACAACCCCCAAUUUUUUAAGGUUGACCUCGGAUCAGGUAGGGAUACCCGCUGAACUUAA